GACAGAGGAUGCAAGGGUUAUCUGGAAUGAUUGGGCGUAAAGUGUCUGUAGGUGGCUUUUUAAGUCUGCCGUCAAAUCCCAGGGCUUAACCCUGGACAGGCGGUGGAAACUACCAAGCUCGAGUAGGGGCAGAGGGAAUUUCCGGUGGAGCGGUGAAAUGAGUAGAGAUCGGAAAGAACACCAACGGCUAAGGCACUCUGCUGGGCCGACACUGACACUGAGAGACGAAAGCUAGGGGAGCAAAUGGG
rnacentral:rRNA from 1 species